CAUCUAAGUACCCCGAGGAAAAGAAAUCAACCGAGAUUCCCCCAGUAGCGGCGAGCGAACGGGGAGCAGCCCAGAGCCUGAAUCAGUGUGUGUGUUAGUGGAAGCGUCUGGAAAGGCGCGCGAUACAGGGUGACAGCCCCGUACACAAAAAUGCACAUACUGUGAGCUCGAUGAGUAGGGCGGGACACGUGGUAUCCUGUCUGAAUAUGGGGGGACCAUCCUCCAAGGCUAAAUACUCCUGACUGACCGAUAGUGAACCAGUACCGUGAGGGAAAGGCGAAAAGAACCCCGGCGAGGGGAGUGAAAAAGAACCUGAAACCGUGUACGUACAAGCAGUGGGAGCCUCUUUAUGGGGUGACUGCGUACCUUUUGUAUAAUGGGUCAGCGACUUAUAUUCUGUAGCAAGGUUAACCGAAUAGGGGAGCCGAAGGGAAACCGAGUCUUAACUGGGCGUUAAGUUGCAGGGUAUAGACCCGAAACCCGGUGAUCUAGCCAUGGGCAGGUUGAAGGUUGGGUAACACUAACUGGAGGACCGAACCGACUAAUGUUGAAAAAUUAGCGGAUGACUUGUGGCUGGGGGUGAAAGGCCAAUCAAACCGGGAGAUAGCUGGUUCUCCCCGAAAGCUAUUUAGGUAGCGCCUCGUGAAUUCAUCUCCGGGGGUAGAGCACUGUUUCGGCAAGGGGGUCAUCCCGACUUACCAACCCGAUGCAAACUGCGAAUACCGGAGAAUGUUAUCACGGGAGACACACGGCGGGUGCUAACGUCCGUCGUGAAGAGGGAAACAACCCAGACCGCCAGCUAAGGUCCCAAAGUCAUGGUUAAGUGGGAAACGAUGUGGGAAGGCCCAGACAGCCAGGAUGUUGGCUUAGAAGCAGCCAUCAUUUAAAGAAAGCGUAAUAGCUCACUGGUCGAGUCGGCCUGCGCGGAAGAUGUAACGGGGCUAAACCAUGCACCGAAGCUGCGGCAGCGACGCUUAUGCGUUGUUGGGUAGGGGAGCGUUCUGUAAGCCUGCGAAGGUGUACUGUGAGGUAUGCUGGAGGUAUCAGAAGUGCGAAUGCUGACAUAAGUAACGAUAAAGCGGGUGAAAAGCCCGCUCGCCGGAAGACCAAGGGUUCCUGUCCAACGUUAAUCGGGGCAGGGUGAGUCGACCCCUAAGGCGAGGCCGAAAGGCGUAGUCGAUGGGAAACAGGUUAAUAUUCCUGUACUUGGUGUUACUGCGAAGGGGGGACGGAGAAGGCUAUGUUGGCCGGGCGACGGUUGUCCCGGUUUAAGCGUGUAGGCUGGUUUUCCAGGCAAAUCCGGAAAAUCAAGGCUGAGGCGUGAUGACGAGGCACUACGGUGCUGAAGCGACAAAUGCCCUGCUUCCAGGAAAA
rnacentral:rRNA from 1 species